rnacentral:lncRNA from 1 species
UUCACUGUCUUCUUCGCCCAAAAUUCGUUCCCAAACUCGCCAAAAUUCAGGCGAGUGAACCCAAACUCCUCCUCACUCGCCCGAUUUCGAGCUAUAUCACGCGAUUGGAAGGUUCUGGAGGACGAGCGUUGGAUGAGUGAGAGGUGUUGGAUCGAUUUCACUCAAUCCGAGCUCACAUUCAUCAGAUGCUUGUUUUCAAAAGGACCUCAUUCGAUUUUGUAAAGGACAUAGAUUUUCGGGGAAAACAGGGAGAGAAAAGGUUGAAGGAUUUUUCUUUCUUUGGCUUUUCAUUUUUUUCUCUGAAAGCUUCUUUUAAAGGUUUGAAGAAGAAUACACAAAUUUUCUUUUUAAUUGUUAAUCUGACUUUGGGUUCCAAAGACAUGAAAAAUGAACUAAGGUCUAUUGAUUGUUCGUGAGGUUCAAGUUCGUCGACUUCUUGUUCUACUGUUGUCCUGCUAAUUUGCUGCUGAACCUUGCUAGGAUUUGGAGUCAAAAGGUGUAUUGUUGAUUCUAUAAUUAAUAAAGGAAGUUUGCAAUUUCAGGUUUGAUCUUUUCUCCUCUGUAACUCUGUUUUUUUUAGGUGUUCUUGAGCGAUGGGAUUUCUGUCUUUAGAAUGGUUUGGUCUUUGUUCUGUGAUCAAACUUCAUGGAGGAGUCGAGCUUGGGUUGAUCAUUUAGUCUCGAUUCGUAUUCGAAAGCGAUAUUCGAUAUGUUAUUUUGCCAAUGAAUCCCCUUCUCACUGGUUUGAUGUGUUGAGCAUUGUUCAGUCAAUAGGAGCUGAUUUGAGUGGUUGUCUUCUAUUCCUUAUAUGCUGUAAUUGUUAUUAUGGGGUCGAAAUAUAUUGAGUCAAGAUUUUAUCGCUUUCAAAUGAACGAUGUGUUCAGUUUUUUGUGAUUUUUAAGCGAGCAUGAAUCCAUGAUGCUUAUUCUCGUGAUGUUUGUUUUCCGGACUCUAAAUGAUUUGUUCUUGUGAAAUCUUCCUCAUCUACUAGAAGCUUUAAACUAGAACCAACCUCUUUAUUCGAGUAGUUGGUUUUUCAAAGUUUUGUUGGUCAGAAUUUUUGGUCAUGUUGUUAAGGAAAGACCGCUUCAUAAGAUGAGCUUUCCUUGUGUUUCUUCUAUUGCAUAUGACAUGCUUUGAUAUUCAAGGAUAUUUGCUUGUAUCUUAUGUCUUGGUCUCAAUAUAUUCGACAUGAAUCACUGAAGAGUUUCCCCUUUCUCUGAUUUCAUGAUCAUUUUUGCAUGUUUUUGCUGGUUUGAAGCUGCUGAAGUUCCCUUUUGAUAAUAUUUGC